rnacentral:rRNA from 1 species
GACGAACGCUGGCGGCGUGCUUAACACAUGCAAGUCGAACGGAAAGGCCCUGCUUGCAGGGUACACGAGUGGCGAACGGGUGAGUAACACGUGGGUGAUCUGCCCCGCACUUCGGGAUAAGCCUGGGAAACUGGGUCUAAUACCGGAUAGGAGCACUUUUUAGUGUGAUGGGUGGAAAGUUUUUUCGGUGUAGGAUGAGCUGGCGGCCUAUCAGCUUGUUGGUGGGGUAAUGGCCUACCAAGGCGGCGACGGGUAGCCGGCCUGAGAGGGUGGAUGGCCACAUUGGGACUGAGAGACGGCCCAGGCUCCUACGGGAGGCAGCAGUGGGGAAGAUUGCACAAUGGGCGCAAGCCGGAUGCAGCGACGCCGCGGGGGGGAUGACGGCCUUCGGGUUGUAAACUCCUUUCGCUAGGGACGAAGCUUUUUGUGACGGUACCUAGAUAAGAAGCACCGGCUAACUACGUG